UACGUAGGGCGCAAGCGUUGUCCGGAAUUAUUGGGCGUAAAGAGCUCGUAGGUGGCUUGUCACGUCGGGUGUGAAAGCUUGGGGCUUAACUCCAGGUCUGCAUUCGAUACGGGCUGGCUAGAGGUAGGUAGGGGAGAACGGAAUUCCUGGUGUAGGCGGUGAAAUGCGCAGAUAUCAGGAGGAACACCGGUGGCGAAGGCGGGUCUCUGGGCCGAAACUGACGCUGAGGAGCGAAAGCGUGGGGAGCAAACAGG
rnacentral:rRNA from 1 species